UACAGAGGUGGCAAGCGUUGUUCGGAAUUACUGGGCGUAAAGGGCGCGUAGGCGGUCUUCUAAGUCUUGUGUGAAAUCCCUCGGCUCAACUGAGGAACUGCACGGGAUACUGGAAGACUUGAGUUCGGGAGAGGGAAGCGGAAUUCCGGGUGUAGCGGUGAAAUGCGCAGAUAUCAGGAGGAACACCCAUUGCGAAGGCAGCUCGCUGGGACGUUACUGACGCUGAGGUGCGAAAGCUAGGGGAGCAAACGGG
rnacentral:rRNA from 1 species